GGAGGGCUCAGUGGUAGAGUGCUUGCCUUGCAUGCAUGAGGCCCUGGGUUCGAUUCCUCAGCACCA
rnacentral:tRNA from 1 species